UGUUAAACUGAAGAAGUGAGGGGGGGCAACUGAACAAGCCAAAGGCUUUUUCAAGCUUCUUUUCGAUCCCAUCCAGCCUUUUAUAUAAGUUGGUGAUGGUAUGUGUUAUCAACUCAGUCUGGCAGAUUAGCAGUUCCAGUGCCUCUCGGUCCUUGUUUAACUGGGCUGGUGACUGGGAUAAUUCAGGUGAAGUUUUUUGCAGGGACUCAAGAGUCUGUUCCAUCUGUUCCUUCAUACACAGGCUCGAGGCUAGUUGUGGGCCAUCCACAAUGCCGGCAGGCUCCUCAUGAGUAGUACUGGGAGCAAGGACCUCAUGGCUGUUUGCUGUGGGGAAGUUUCUACAGAUCUCAUUUAGGUCAUUGUCAGGCAAAAAAUCCCUGAUAUUUGUCUGUUUUUUGGCAGUGCUCGUAGCUUCAUUGGAAUGCUGCCUGCGGCGUUUCUUCCCUCUCAUGUCGGCAAGAAAAUAGGGAGAAAAUUUCUCAAAAUAAUAGGGUCAGGGCAGGUUGUGCUGUUAAUGAGCCCUACUCCCUUUAACAGUCUUUAUCUGCCGUGUUUUCUUGCAGAUUUAUGGGAGAAGUAGAAAUAAUCUAAACCAUAAAACUUCUAAAAUAAACGCCUUAAGGCAUCUUAGAGCCCUUAGAACCCGUCAAAGCAGAUAAUAAAAAUAUAGCUUUACCGAGCAUAAGACAAGGCUGCCGCUCACGUCGCCAUCUUGG